rnacentral:rRNA from 1 species
CCCUUAGAUGUUCUGGGCAGCACGCGCGCUACAAUGGUCUUCGCAAACGGAUGCAUUCUCGAAGGAGAAUGCCAAUCUUGGAAUCUAUGCCUUGGUCGGGACAGUUGCUUGCAAUUUUUCGACUCGAACCAGGAAUUCCUUGUAAUCGUGAUUCAUCACAUCACGAUGAAUACGUCCCUGCCCUUUGUACACACCGCCCGUCGCUCCUACCGAUCGAGUGAUCCGGUGAAUAAUUCGGACUGCAGCAGGCCUGGUCUCCGGGUUUUGCAGCGGAAAGUUUAGUGAACCUUAUCACUUAGAGGAAGGAGAAGUCGUAACA